CCGAUGAGGUGGAAACGGACAGAGCUGGCGUAUCUGGCCUGCAUUCAGCCGCUGCGCGUCGGGCCCCGGUUUGCCGCACUCCAGAUUGGGAAGGUGGCUGGGCUGCUGGCGUGCUUGUGGUGCAUUUGCAGGUGGAGUGCGCUGAGGCGCUCGGCUCAGCGGCAUGAGCUCGGCCUUGAGGCCAACCGUGCAAGCGGUCUGGUACCCGGGUCGGGGGAGUGUUGUUUGGGCUGAGUGUUCGUUUGGGCACUGGUUUCGGGCCCGGGUGGGUGCCGAGCUGGCGGUCGACGUCGGUCGCAUGCGACACGUGUCAGCAAUCAGUUCGGUCCUGCUCGAGCUCUCGCGUGUCCGGCCUCGGUGUAAAAGCCGGUCAUCUGUCCGACCCGUCUUGAAACACGGACCAAGGAGUUUAGCGUGUGCGCGAGUCAUUGGGCGUUGAAAACCCAAAGGCGCAAUGAAAGUGAAGGUCUGCCUUGUGCAGCUGAUGUGUGAUCCUGGGUGCUGCGGUGCCCGGGCGCAACAUAGUCCCGUCCCGACUGCAUGCAGUGGGGCGGAGACAGAGCGUACGCGCUGAG
rnacentral:rRNA from 1 species